rnacentral:lncRNA from 1 species
UUGUGAGUAAGUUUGUUUUACACCAGAGGUGGAGGAGCGUGAAGUUGUUUUCGAAACCUCGCACUAGAGGGUAGCAAUUCAGCUCGCUGUUUGUGACCAGCUCAUACUCGGCUGGAAAUGAACUCGAGAUCCAAUCGCUCGUUUAAUAAACGAGCUGACAUGAGCUAAAUUUUUCAGCUGAUUUAAUAAACGAGGCAAACACAAGCUGGAGUCAACUCGCUCGUGUUCGGCUCGAUAACAGUUGGAAUACAUAUAGUUUAUAUUUAUAUAUAUAAAUAUAAAUAAAUAAUUAUAUAUAUAAUAUAAAUUUUAUAAUUUGGUUUAGCUUAAUUUAAAUUAUAAAGUGCAACUCAAUUAUAAAAAAGGUCUUUUAUAUGCAAAGUUUCAACUAUUAGAUAAAAGUCAAAUGAAUAAGACCUCACAAAUUUAUUUCCUGAAUAUAUUCUUCAUAAUUCUUUUAAUUUAUUGUUCAUGAGCCAACUUAUAUUCGGCUUAUUAAUAAACGAGCCGAAUAUGAGUGUAAUUUUUUAACUUGAUACUUUAAAGAGUCAACUCGUGUUCGGCUUAUUUAUGAAACGAGCCAAACACGAGCCAGCCUUAACUCGCUCGUGUUUGACUCGUUGAUAAUCCUACCUCGCGCGUAAUUCUACUUUUUGAAAAUGCCGUAAUUGAUAUUGCUCUUGAUGUACCGCCGUCAAUUAGAGAAGAGAAUGAGAUAAGAAAUAAUAAUAAUAAUUAAAAAAAUAAUUGUCCUAACUUUUUUCAUCCUCUUAUGUGAAAAUUUUUAGUAAAAUAAAUAAGAAGUGAGACGAUUACGGUUACAAAACUAACGAGUGAAAUCGACGACAUGGUUCGAUUAUGUUUAAUCUAAAAAAAUAAUACAAUAAGCUAAGCAUCUGUUAUAAUAAGAAUUAGGCCAAAAUAUUAUUACUAGCACUAAAUCAUUGAUUCUAUCAAAUUUUCGGCCUUUGGAUAAAAAGAUGUGCGAUUAGAAUGAUAGUGAUCCUAUAAGAUUAAGUGGACGGUAAUUAGUUGAAUACUAUAAGCUAAUAAGUGAAAACGGUCGAUGAGAUAGAUCUAAUAAAAGAAAAUUUGACAGUAUCACAUGCUUUGGUGCUAUUAAUAGCAUUAUAGUCGAACUCGUUAUAAUAAAUACAUUUCUUGGUAACAAUGGUACAAACUAUCUGUCCCUAGCACAGGUGACAAAGGACUUGGUGGUUGGUAUUCGAGAUUUCGAGUUCGAAUUCUAGUUGAUGCAUAUUUUCAGCUAAGCUUAAAAAGAUAUCUCUAAAAAUAAAAAAACAAAAAAACAAACAAUGGUACAAACAUUCUCUAACAAAAUAAUAUAUAUAUAUAUAACCAAUUAAAGUGCUCGUGGGCUGCUAAUUAAUUAAAGAGUCCACGUCAAACAAAGUGGCGUCAACCGACCAAUUUAAUUGCAAAUAGAAAAUGGUUUUUGACUACCUCGGUAACGGGUCACAUAUUAAUACUUUAAUAUAUCAACAUAUUAAUAAUUUAAUAACUUAUACGAAUAAUAUACUUUGUUCGUCGAAUUUGUGAAGCCGCACGUGUUUUAAUUAAAAUUUCUUACGGAUAAUAUAAUAUUUUAAAGGAAAAACUUUAAAUACCUUCCUGUGGUUUCGUAAUUUCUCAUUUUAGUACUCUGUGGUUUAAAGUGUAUCAAGUUAGUAUUUUAUGGUUUCGCACUUUCUCGCUUUAGUAUCCUGUGAUUUUAAGUGUAUCAAAUUAGUACCCUGUGGUUUCGCACUUUGUCACUUUAGUAUCCUAUGGUUUAAUAUUCGUUAAAUUAUAUACCCCGAAAUAGAUAAUAAAAAGAAAAACUUAAAACCACAGGGUACUAACUUGAUACAAAAAUGAAAUCACAAAAUACUAACUUGAUACACUUGAAACUAAAGGAUACUAAAAUAAGAAAGUACGAAACCACUUAAGGGUAUUUGAAGUUUCCCUAUUUUAAAAUAUCAGAAAGCGCACUUAUUCUCAAAUUCUAGCCCUCAACUUUACUUUUUU